rnacentral:tRNA from 1 species
GGGGAUUUAGCUCAGUGGCAUAAGUACCUGCUUUGCAAGCAGGAGGUCGUGAGUUUGAUCCCCG